GCCGCUACACUGUAGCAUUGGAAAUAGCAUCCGCUGGAGAGUGAUGCUGCGAGCGGCGGCCGGCAAAACAAGCGGUACAAGACCGUUUUGCGGGCGCUGCUGGAACUACCCUCAGGCCAAUGCCAAUAUGUUUUGAGCAGCAUGUUGGGCAACACUUUGUAACACCAGAUAUUGUUAGAUAAUGUCCUGAUAUGAUCCUAUAUGAGUAAGAAAAAUGCUCAUAGAGGUACUGGGCCCUUUAACUUUCAAACUUCGUAGAUGUAAUUUUAUAUUUGGGUUUGAUUCUGACUUAUUCUUUGGCCAAUUAGACACAAGAUGAUCAUGUAGAAAGUACCCAUUUUACGACAGGCUUUAAAAAGGAUAGUCUGUGACACUAUCACUUGACGGAGCUGUCUCUGAUUUGAAUUAAUAAUUGCAGCAAUCGUAACAAGGUUUCAAUCUUUAAAGACAAGGUGGACCGUGAUGUGAUUAAGAUGGGUAAGAGUAUUAGGUCUGUCCCAUUUGAUAUUGCGAAUGGGCCUCCACAAGAAAAUGCCAAUUUAUCAACACUGGAAUAGACUAUGAAAAACCUCCCGGAGAUAUUACCAAUGUAUGCACUGACGUGACUAAUUUCACAAUACCACCUAGCAUUGGUAAAAAAGGUCCUUUGUCAAGAAGUUUGCUUCGUGUCCCAUUUGAUAUUGCGAUUGGAUCCUCACAGAAAAAUGUCAAUUUGUCAACACCAAAUAUUCAUGAACAAGGACUAAAUGUAUCACCUACCUCACAAAUACACAAUAAUUCAACCCCCCGGAAUCAUCACAGUUCAAGAGAACGUGACUGGGAGUGAUACUAGCGGAUCAGCAGUGAAAAGAAAGAAGCCUACUUGAAAAGGAAACGCGAGUACUAUCAGAUCUCAUGUUCUGGUCGCAGUUUAAUGCCAACACCUCAUCCUGUCAAUACCAUCUCAAGUCAGUUUCCUAUUAGCAAUUAUGCAUUGAUUGGUCAUGACAUCCAAACCCAAACAUUCAGUUUCCUAUUAGCAAUUAUGCAUCAAUUGGUCAUGACAUCCAAACCCAAACAUCUCAGGUACCUGUACAGAAAAAACACACAAUUAUGAGGUGGGUCACAUGCUUUCCUCGCUGAAAUGCUUUGUCUGUGUAAUUACGAUUUUGAGCGAUUUUGUAUCAUUGUUAGAUCUCGAUGGCACGCUACAUGUAUUUGUGUCACAGAUGUAUUCUUUUAAGGGUCAGAAAGAAUUAACUGGUAUAAGCCUUGACGUUCAGAUAUUGGAAGGGAUCAAGAACACAUUGAGUUGUACACUAUCAAAAGUUAUAAUACGGCAUAACAAACCAAAUAAGGCGCAUAUAACUAGAGUUGCCCCGCAAGGUACAUAUUUCUAUUGCGAUUGUUGUCCUUUCUCUUUAGCUAUAUUAGUCCCUUGCAUAUGUUUUGUUACAGAUUAUGUUUGUACUGGAGAAGAUAUUGUUAUUGUCGAAUCCAUCAAAUCAUCACCUAGAAAUAGAAUACUUGUGGACAUUGAUGAUGCAUUUGUAGACAAGUUCCAUUUCGAAUGCCUUCUACAGCCUAACGAUUCUUAAAUGAUGAAGUAAGUACACCUGCAUAAAUCAGUAUAUUAAGAUUGCCUGGUGUGACAAAACAAAACAUAAACUGGAUAAAGUGUUCUAGUGAUAUUUCUUGCUGAGAUCACAAAAAUCACGAAGGCACUCGCACUGCAAUGAGGUCACAACAGAAACUUCAUUAAGAAAUCAAUAUAUUUUUCCACACCAUUUUGAGGCAACUCCUAUUUCAGCAGAGAACAAGGAUAUUAUAAUUUGUCAAAGAGUUAUUGUUUGUUAUACCUUUGGCUAGAAGUUUUCCCCUGUACAAGCUUACUAUCUUGAUUGCUACACUUGUUUCAAAUGAAAUAUGCAUAGAUUUCUAUAACUCUUAAUAUAUACUUCAAUGUACAAAUUGACGAGGAAAAUUGAAGGAGGAAUGCCAUGUUUUCAAGACUGUAUCUAAUGACUUCCAGAAGAUGUGUCAAUGGACAUUGUUUGAGAAAGAAACUGGUGAAGGGGAGCAGCAGCCCAAGGGUGAUAUGGAGAUGGGAAUACGGGAUAGUUUUAUUUGACAUUUAGUUCAGAGCAGUGCAUAGCAAAGUACAACAAUCAGAAUCAGAUGAAGCAGGUUAAACUCAGUGGCCAAAAUUCAGGAUAAAGAGUUGAAGACAUUCAGGACAGCUGAAAAUGUACAUGGCGUUUCUCACAUCUCAACUUGACAGUGUUUUAUUACUUUAAUAUAAGACACACCUUGGAAUGUCAUAGUUGAUAACAAAAUUAACUAUUUGAAUAUCCAACCCAUGGCUGCCCACAUCAGUAGCAAGCAAUACGGAACCUGAC